rnacentral:rRNA from 1 species
GUGAGGAAUAUUGGUCAAUGGGCGCAAGCCUGAACCAGCCAUCCCGCGUGCAGGAAGACGGCCCUAUGGGUUGUAAACUGCUUUUCCAGGGGACGAAUAGUUUCUACGUGUAGAGACCUGACGGUACCUUGGGAAUAAGCAUCGGCUAACUCCGUGCCAGCAGCCGCGGUAAUACGGAGGAUGCGAGCGUUAUCCGGAUUCAUUGGGUUUAAAGGGUGCGUAGGCGGACUAUUAAGUCAGUGGUGAAAUCCUCCCGCUUAACGGGAGAACUGCCAUUGAUACUGAUAGCCUUGAGUUUGGUUAAGGUAGGCGGAAUGUGUAAUGUAGCGGUGAAAUGCUUAGAUAUUACACAGAACACCAAUUGCGUAGGCAGCUUACUGAGCCGACACUGACGCUGAGGCACGAAAGCGUGGGGAUCGAACAGGAUUAGAUACCCUGGUAGUCC